rnacentral:rRNA from 1 species
AUUGAACGCUGGCGGCAUGCCUUACACAUGCAAGUCGAACGGCAGCACGGGAGCAAUCCUGGUGGCGAGUGGCGAAACGGGUGAGUAAUAUAUCGGAACGUGCCCAGUCGUGGGGGAUAACGCAGCGAAAGCUGUGCUAAUACCGCAUACGAUCUAUGGAUGAAAGCGGGGGAUCGCAAGACCUCGCGCGAUUGGAGCGGCCGAUAUCAGAUUAGGUAGUUGGUGGGGUAAAGGCCCACCAAGCCAACGAUCUGUAGCUGGUCUGAGAGGACGACCAGCCACACUGGAACUGAGACACGGUCCAGACUCCUACGGGAGGCAGCAGUGGGGGAUUUUGGACAAUGGGCGAAAGCCUGAUCCAGCGACGCCGCGUGGAGGACGAAGCCCUUCGGGGUGUAAACUCCUUUUCUUCAGGGAAAAAGGAUGAUGGUACCUGAGGAAUAAGCCCCGGCUAACUACGUGCCACGCAGCCGCGGUAAGGAGUAGUACA